AUAUCUCCACAUGAUUCUGAAUUGCAUGUAACAAACUCACGUCAGUAUUAAAGGGACACUUGUGUUUUUAAUAAAUCUCUGAUUUUAUCUUAGUAAGGUUAAUAACUUGAAUUAAAUGCUGCACAAAUAUAUGCACUUAUUGUAAUAGAUGGAAUGUCAAGGUCAAUUUGAUUCUAAUAAUCCUAGCAAAAUGAAAGUAACAUCAUGAAAAAGAAGCCAUGCUUGGAAACAAAAGCUAAUUAAGAUUUUUUUAAUGCCCCAGAGAGAGAAGUGUACAGAGAAUAGUCACAGUUGGUUUAAGAUUGGCAACUCUGUUGGAUGUGACAGCACAUUCAGCUCAUCCCACACAGACACAGUCCAGCAUCUGGGAUGAUAAUUAUUAGACUUCAGAACACUUCUUGGAAAUAUUCCAUGUAUUAGGCUGCUUACAAAAGCAGGCUCUCUAGAAUUACCAUAGUAAUACAAGUAUAUUACUAAAUGCUUUAUCAAUAUUUAUUUAUCACUUUACUUCUGUGUUACAGCUAUUUCAUCAAGCCAAAAGAGUACUAAAGAUUUAAAGAAAUGAUGCUUAUAAAAAGUAAAUAUUUUGUUUUCCUUUUAAGAAUAAAUCACAUAAUUUGCAAUGCCAAAAUUUGAAACCCUGAAUACACUAUUUCUUUGAGAUAAUAUUGGUGAAUAAGAUCUCACAAAUAGAAUAAGCACAUGAGUCUAAUUUUAGAAUAAACUUUUAAAAUAGUUUAUUUAUUUUUUAUUUAUUUGACAGGUAGAGUUAUAGACAGUGAGAGAGAAGGACAGAGAGAAAAGCCUUCCUUCCAUUGGUUUACCCCCCAAAUGGCCGCCACAAUCAGGGCUGCGCUGAUCCGAAGCCAGGAGCCAGGUGCUUCUUGCUGGUCUCCCAUGCGGGUGCAGGGCCCAAGCACUUGGGCCAUCCUCCACUGCACUCCCGGGCCACAGCAGAGAGCUGGCCUGGAAGAAGAGCAACUGGGACUAGAACCCGGCAUCCACAUAGGAUCCGGAGGAUUAACCAAAUGUCCACCAGCCAUACCAAAGCAAGACUAUCUACAGCUAGAACCUUGGAACUGAAGUAAAAAUCAAGAAAAUGUGGGGGCUUCUCUGAAGAAGAAAAUCUGCCCAUGGAAAGCAUCUUCAGCUCAUGCCCAGGAGUUCCAGCCUGUAAUUCCUAAUAAGCAACCAUAUGGAUUUUACACUGGUCUAGGCCACCUGUUAACAAUUGUAUAAACUACCUUCUAGCAAUUAAUAUCUUAUUGCAGGGGCUGAUGCCAUGGCUUAGUAGGUAAAGCUGCUACCUGUGGUGCCAGCAUCCCAUGUGGGCACCAGUUUGAGUCCUGGCUGCUCCACUUCUGAUCCAGCUCUCUGCUAUGGCCUGGGAAAGCAAUAGAAGAUGGCACAAGUCCUUGGGCCCCUGCACCGCAUGGGAGACCCAGAAGAGGCUCCUGGCUUCGGAUCAGCACAGCUCUGGCCAUUGCGGCCAUUUGGGGAGUGAACCAUUGGAUGGAAGACAUGUCUCUCUCUCUCUCUCUCUCUCUCUCUCUCUCUCCCUGCCUCUCCUCUGUGUAAC